rnacentral:misc_RNA from 1 species
UACGGAGGGUGCAAGCGUUGUUCGGAAUUAUUGGGCGUAAAGAGCGCGUAGGCGGCUUGUUUAGUCUGAUGUGAAAGCCCUCGGCUUAACCGGGGAAGUGCAUUGGAUACUGGCAGGCUUGAGUCCGAGAGAGGGAAGUGGAAUUCCAGGUGUAGCGGUGAAAUGCGUAGAUAUCUGGAGGAACAUCGGUGGCGAAGGCGACUUCCUGGAUCGGUACUGACGCUGAGGCGCGAAAGCGUGGGUAGCAAACAGG